CCUAACACAUGCAAGUCGAACGGUAACAGGAAGAAGCUUGCUUCUUUGCUGACGAGUGGCGGACGGGUGAGUAGUGUCUGGGAAACAGCCUGAUGGAGGGGGAUAACUACUGGAAACAGUAGCUAAUACCGCAUAACGUCGCAAAACCAAAGAGGGGGACCUUCGGGCCUCUUGCCAUCGGAUGUGCCCAGAUGGGAUUAGCUAGUAGGUGGGGUAACGGCUCACCUAGGCGACGAUCCCUAGCUGGUCUGAGAGGAUGACCAGCCACACUGGAACUGAGACACGGUCCAGACUCCUACGGGAGGCAGCAGUGGGGAAUAUUGCACAAUGGGCGCAAGCCUGAUGCAGCCAUGCCGCGUGUAUGAAGAAGGCCUUCGGGUUGUAAAGUACUUUCAGCGGGGAGGAAGGGAGUAAAGUUAAUACCUUUGCUCAUUGACGUUACCCGCAGAAGAAGCACCGGCUAACUCCGUGCCAGCAGCCGCGGUAAUACGGAGGGUGCAAGCGUUAAUCGGAAUUACUGGGCGUAAAGCGCACGCAGGCGGUUUGUUAAGUCAGAUGUGAAAUCCCCGGGCUCAACCUGGGAACUGCAUCUGAUACUGGCAAGUUUGAGUCUCGUAGAGGGGGGUAGAAUUCCAGGUGUAGCGGUGAAAUGCGUAGAGAU
rnacentral:rRNA from 1 species